rnacentral:lncRNA from 7 species
CAGCAGAAAAUGAUCGCAGUGCCCGCUGCGUCGUGAUGUCGUUGAGCAGCGCAGGGAGCGGAACGGAGGGCAUGUAUCGGUAGGCUGCUGUAAUAUUCCCGAGCCGAGCGCUCCUCUUUCCGCACUGCUCCGUGUGCCAAGUGUCACGUCCAGCCCGCCCCACCAGCCACCACGAGCUGAUGCAGGAUUUUCGUGGAUGGUGCCGUGUUGCUUAGCAACCUUGCUAGGCAGCAUGCUAUACAUCACGCACGGCGCCGGCUACUACGAAGGUAAACAACAGGGAGCCUGGUCCUCAGAGCAGCAGAGGAGAUGGUAUCUACAGCUCAUUUCAGCAAGAGAUUUCUUCUAUAAAAUUUCACAAAUAUUGACAGCAGUCACAGUAAAAUUUAAGGUGUGUGAAAAAUUUGCAGAAUUUCACCAUCCGUUUGCACAUCUUUCUGUCACUUCAGAAAGCUUCUCAGCUUAAACACUUGACAACUGACGGAGCUGUUCAACUUUUAGUGAAUGAGGACCAAGUAAAUAACUGCAAGGCCUGUAACUGCGUGCAUUCACAGAGCUGAAUUGUGCCGGAUGGACACCAGUGACUGAUGGAGGGAUACUGGACCCAGCCCAUAUCUAGGACAGCGAGCGUGCCGUGCCCUGUUCCUUUCAACACUAGGACUUCAGCAGUAGGAAGGUACUAGGAGCAUAAAUGUCAUUUAUACCUGCUGCAAGAUCUCUGCGGGGUGAUAAUACAAAUGACAACCUGUCUCAGUCCUUCCCUAGGGCUGAGAGUUAUCGCAGCAAAAGUUAGAAGAUAAAUUACAUCUUACAACAAAACAGACUUGAAUACAACACAUGCAAGCAUCUCAGUCUGUGCAGAAAGCAGAAAGAGUGUUAUGCUGGGCAGAAGUAAAAAUAAGCAAGCUAAUCUCGAAUGACACUGGAAAAGAAAAUAGCUGAAGGACUUUUCCUCUCUGUGAGUUUCAAGGUAAAUACCACUCCGUUUUUGGUAUCAUUAACAUUUUAUUAUUAUGACUACUAUUAAACAGCAGCCCUGCCUACUUUUGCCCAUAUUUUCUGGGCAUGUCUCAGCAUUUUACAAGUUAGAGAUUGUACUGACAAUUGGAAAUAUUGUAUCAUCAUUUCAUUACCACCUGGCUUGGAGAGAGGAUCACCCAGUAAUUCGGUUUUGUAGGCAUCCACUGAGAUAAAGCAAGGGAGGAGGCUGCUACAAACUCUUCUAUAGUCACUAUGAAACUACGUUUGUUUCCUUAAAGAAGAAACAGCCCUUCUUUAAAUUGAUCAUCACAGCUUCGUUUUUUCCCUUUCUUCUAUUGAUUUGCAAGAAAUAGGGUUGGUUGGAUUGUUUCAUGCCACAAGAGAUAUCAUUCCUCUUUCUCUCCAAAUGACUCAGGGUCAAUGUAAUCUGAAAAACAGUUCUAACAAAACAAGCUCUUUGCAGAUAAACCCACAAGAACAAAAUCCAGAACAAGUCUCCUCCAAAAAUUGUUUGCAUGUUUCCCUUUCCUUUACACGUGUAUUUACUGGUAUGCAUGAUAAACAUCAUCCAGUUUUACUCGGAAACUCUUACAUAAAGAUGAGAAUGGGAACGUGAUAUGUCAGAGAGGUUGCAUUUCACCUACUUUGCCUGGAAGAGCUCUUACAAUAACUAUAAUUGGAAACAAAAGUGAGAAACAGCACUUAAUAAAAAUUACACGGAAU